rnacentral:rRNA from 1 species
CCUACGGGAGGCAGCAGUGAGGAAUAUUGGUCAAUGGGCGCGAGCCUGAACCAGCCAAGUCGCGUGAGGGAAGACGGUCCUAUGGAUUGUAAACCUCUUUUGUCGGGGAGCAAAAGCCGCCACGCGUGGCGUUCCGAGAGUACCCGAAGAAAAAGCAUCGGCUAACUCCGUGCCAGCAGCCGCGGUAAUACGGAGGAUGCGAGCGUUUUCCGGAUUUAUUGGGUUUAAAGGGUGCGCAGGGGGAAGAUCAAGUCAGCGGUAAAAGUGCGGGGCUCAACCUCUUAGAGCCGUUGAAACUGGUGUUCUUGAGUGAGCGAGAGGUAUGCGGAAUGCGUGGUGUAGCGGUGAAAUGCAUAGAUAUCACGCAGAACUCCGAUUGCGAAGGCAGCAUACCGGCGCUCAACUGACGCUGAGGCACGAAAGUGUGGGUAUCGAACAGGAUUAGAUACCCGUGUAGUC